UCUCUCACUGUGGGUAAGUCUAUUAGAUUUACCAUUCCGAAUAGCAAGAGAAUGACAAUAGUAAGUCGUCAUGGUGGCCAAGCCAUGUCGCACUGAAAUCAUUACCUUGUAUAAGGCUUAGUGAAUCUCGCAUUCUAACACUUGGACAUCCUCACAAGCAUUGCAGAGUUUCUCUUGUCCACGAACGAAGUUCGGAUAAAUCCAAUGAUUCUGCAAG
rnacentral:lncRNA from 1 species